CCCCUGGGGACACGUGACCCACCUGACACUUUGCAGAAGUGGGUUCUGGACAGAGGCCGUCAGCUACCCCUGGACCUGAACGGCAGGCAGCCCCGUCACUUUCCACUUGAAGGGCGGGGCUGGUGACCAGGGUCCCAUGUUACCCUGAGACGCGGCCGUAGCGUGGGUGGGACAGAGCCAGCCUGUAGCUCUGAGAACUGAAGUAGCUGGGAAGCUGGGAAUGCAGAGAGAUAAACGGAUUAACGAAAGAAACCAAACUCCAGAACCUGGAAAUUUGUGAUGGUUCCCCUCCCUCCAAGCUCACAGCCAUGCCUGUUCCAAGACACUGGUAACCUGGAAGGUUGCCCUGGUGUGGGAGUGCUCUGUCAGAAACAUGGACACGAUUCUCUCUCCAUGGUGUUAGAAUUUCCUGAGUAAUAAAUUGGCAGUCUACAUCG